rnacentral:rRNA from 1 species
UACAGAGGCCUCAAGCGUUAGGCGGAAUCACUGGGCUUAAAGCGCGUGUAGGUGGACUUUUAAGUGCUUUGUGAAAUCCCACGGCUCAACCGUGGAACUGCUGGGCAUACUGGAAGUCUUGGGCCAUCCAGGGGCAACCGGAACAAGCGGUGGAGCGGUGAAAUGCGUAGAUAUCGCUUGGAACGCCAAAGGUGAAGACAGGUUGCUGGAGAUGUGCCGACACUGAGACGCGAAAAGCCAGGGGGAGCAAAACGGG